AGGUAGGGGUCAAUGAAGAUUUACACAGGCAUUAAAAUUUAAAAAUGCACCAAUCAUAUUGAAAAGUAUAACAGAUUAUUUAUCUGAUCAUAAAUAUUCCAAAAAAGGUAUAGUUUGGACUAUGUAUGACUAAAUGUUAAGGAGUUAUGGGGGUAAAAACAGCAAGAAUGGUGGCAAAGGUCAGUUUCAGUUUGUACAGGGUCAAAAGUUAAAGUUACUCCAAUUUUUGAAAAAUGUGAUGAAAAUUAUUUAUGGAGUUAAUAGGGUUUUAAAAAGGAAAGUUUGCACCAUGUGUCAUGCUUAGUUAUCAUGUUACAUAUGUAACGUGAUAACAUGUCACAUGCCACAGAAUCCAAUGUACAUCGACAUUGUUUGACCUUUACUUUGCAAACCAAGCAUUCAACACAGUCAAAACUAAUCCAUUUAUUAAUCCUAUUAAUUAAAGCAAUAAUU